rnacentral:rRNA from 1 species
UACGGGGGGGGCAAGCGUUGUUCGGAAUUACUGGGCGUAAAGGGCUCGUAGGUGGCCAACUAAGUCAGACGUGAAAUCCCUCGGCUUAACCGGGGAACUGCGUCUGAUACUGGAUGGCUUGAGUUUGGGAGAGGGAUGCGGAAUUCCAGGUGUAGCGGUGAAAUGCGUAGAUAUCUGGAGGAACACCUGUGGUGUAGACAGCUUACUGGACCACUUCUGACGCUGAGACACGAAAGCGUGGGUAGCAAACAGG